rnacentral:rRNA from 1 species
GAUGAACGCUGGCGGCGUGCCUAAUACAUGCAAGUCGAGCGAACAGAUGAGGAGCUUGCUCCUCUGACGUUAGCGGCGGACGGGUGAGUAACACGUGGAUAACCUACCUAUAAGACUGGGAUAACUUCGGGAAACCGGAGCUAAUACCGGAUAAUAUCUUGAACCGCAUGGUUCAAUAGUGAAAGACGGUUUUGCUGCCACUUAUAGUUGGAUCCGCGCCGCAUUAGCUAGUUGGUAAGGUAACGGCUUACCAAGGCAACGAUGCGUAGCCGACCUGAGAGGGUGAUCGGCCACACGGGAACUGAGACACGGUCCAGACUCCUACGGGAGGCAGCAGUAGGGAAUCUUCCGCAAUGGGCGAAAGCCUAACGGAGCAACGCCGCGUGAGUGAUGAAGGUCUUCGGAUCGUAAAACUCUGUUAUUAGGGAAGAACAAAUGUGUAAGUAACUAUGCACGUCUUGACGGUACCUAAUCAGAAAGCCACGGCUAACUACGUG